AUGACUUUGAUCUCCGUCCUCAUCUGGACUCUCCUCUGCUGCUGCUUCACAGAGUCCAGAGGCCAGAUCACAGUGACUCAGCCUGCAGCAGUGAGAUCUGCUCUGGGAGGAUCCACAACCAUCAGCUGUAGGACCAGUCAGGAUGUUUAUUAUAGUAGCCCAUACCACUAUUUAGCCUGGUACCAACAGAAAGAUGGAGAAGCUCUUAAACUUCUCAUUUAUGGUGCUACCUAUCGAGCAUCAGGGAUUCCAGAUCGUUUUUCAGGCAGUGGAUCAAAUUCUGACUUCACUCUGACCAUCAGUGGAGUUCAGGCUGAAGAUGCAGAAGUUUAUUACUGUCAGAGUUAUCACUAUAUCAACAGUCAGUGGGUCAAACAGUCCACCUCCCACCUCAACAACCUCUUACUGAGUCAAACAAAUAUUUAA